CCCCAGUUUAACAAAUUUUAUUACAGUACAAGAAAGAUAAAGGUAAAAGAUUUCAUUUUCUUUAUUUCUCCAUUUGCUUCUCUCUAUAUUUUUACUUACAGAUUCACAGCCCAUAGAAGUAGGGUUUAGGCACAGAGAUAAGAAGGCAUUGUUCUGCAUGUCUUGUACCAGAGAAACCAACCUAUGUGUAUCCCUCCUGCUUGAAUUAAGAAACAGCCAGAAUGAUUUAUUGCAAAGCUUUGGACAGGCAAUCUUAGGAUAGAGAAAGAGAAUGGAUACAUUUUAUUUAUACAAAGCCAACAUAAAGUGUUUGGGAAGUUUAACCUGUUAAGCAUGUGCUUACAAACAGGGGUAUACAGGACAGGUGUGUCUAGCAGCAAGUUGCAAGUUUAACAGCCAUUGAAGAUGAUUG